rfam:Candidatus Gottesmanbacteria bacterium RBG_13_45_10 RBG_13_scaffold_1109, whole genome shotgun sequence.
GCGGGCGUAGUUCAGCGGUAGAAUGUCUCCUUCCCAAGGAGAAGGUCACCGGUUCAAAUCCGGCCGCCCGCU